rnacentral:lncRNA from 1 species
ACCUGUCACAGUUUCAUGCUCUCAUGCAAAUAAAGCCUAAGGUUUUGGAUCUAGAAUUUUACAGAAAUUAAGUUUUAGGUCGUGUGUCAAAAUAAUAUAUCACAUAUAAUAUUAAUUGAUUUAAAAUAUAUAAAAAUAUAUGUAUAAUUUAAUUUAAAUCUAAAAAUAUAAAUAAUUAUAAUUUUUUAUUCAUAAUUUAUCUUUAUGAGAAAUAUCAC